rfam:Capsicum annuum cultivar Zunla-1 chromosome 11, whole genome shotgun sequence
UAUUGGUGAUGCGGACAACCUCUGAGAAGAGACUUGAAUCUUUUUCAUGCAUGAUAGAGAUUCUCAUAUGGAUUUUGUUUGAAACUCAAAAUCUCACUCUUCAACCU